rnacentral:rRNA from 1 species
UGUACACGCUGUGACUAGCAUAUCAAUAAGCGGAGGAAAAGAAACUAACAAGGAUUCCCCUAGUAACGGCGAGUGAAGCGGGAAGAGCUCAAAUUUGAAAUCUUAAAGGGUUUCCCUUUACGAAUUGUAGUUUAAAGAAGUGUUUUCUGUUGAGGUUUUGGUAAAAGUUCUUUGGAAUAGGACAUCAUAGAGGGUGAGAAUCCCGUAUUUGACCUUUACUUUCAACUUUGUGAUACACUUUCAAAGAGUCGGAUUGUUUGGGAAUGCAGUCCAAAAUGGGUGGUAAAUUUCAUCUAAAGCUAAAUAUUGGCGAGAGACCGAUAGCGAACAAGUACCGUGAGGGAAAGAUGAAAAGAACUUUGAAAAGAGAGUUAAACAGUACGUGAAAUUGUCAAAAGGGAAGCGUUUCGACACCAGUGUUGUUUUUCUGAAAAUCAAUUAAAGAACUGUUUAUGCUAAGUUGUUUAGACUUUAUCAGCUAUCUGUUUAGUUUUGAGCUUUUCUUUAAUGCACUUUUCAGUUAACAAGUCAACAUCAAUUUCUUUUGCUGUAAAAAAGCUUGAGGAAGGUGGCUUGAGAUUCGUCUUAAGUGUUUAUAGCCUCUUGCCUAUGCAGUCGGAGAGAUUGAGGUCUGCAGCGUAGAUCCUUCGGGGCUAAAUGCAUUUGUGCUAAGUUAUAACAUUUUAUAGACAACUUGUUGACUAUGAUUUGUCUUGUAGCUUACUCGCUUAUGUUAUUUUACCUACGCUUAGGAUGUUGAAGUCAUCGUAUCGCGC